rnacentral:rRNA from 1 species
AUGCUGACGAGUGGCGGCACGGGUGAGUAACGCGUAUGCAAUCUACCUUUAACUGAGGAAUAGCCCAAGAGAAAUUUGGAUUAAUACCUCAUAACAUUAUUUAUAGGCAUCUAUUUAUAAUUAAAACUCCGGUGGUUAAAGAUGAGCAUGCGUCCUAUUAGUUAGUUGGUAAGGUAAAAGCUUACCAAGACAACGAUAGGUAGGGGGCCUGAGAGGGUGAUCCCCCACACUGGUACUGAGACACGGACCAGACUCCUACGGGAGGCAGCAGUGAGGAAUAUUGCACAAUGGAGGAAACUCUGAUGCAGCCAUGCCGCGUGCAGGAUGAAUGCCCUAUGGGUUGUAAACUGCUUUUCUGCAAGAAGAAACCUUAGUACGUGUACUAAGCUGACGGUACUGCAGGA